AUAGGGGCUCUUUAAAAGAAGGGUUAUUUCUUGUAAAUAUCAUCUUUUGUGGUCCACAGGAGGCGUGCAGGAUCAGGAAGACACAAGGGUUUGGAGUGUAUUGCAGAGGAAAGUGAAUGGAGAGUAAUGGAUGGUUUGCUGUGAGUGAGUGUCUCGGGCUCACCAAAUACAAUUUUUCUCUUCAAACAAUCACUCUGUGUCUCUGAGGAGCCCCGGGCGCAGUAAUUGAUAUGAUUAGCCAUGAUUCGUCGCUGGAAUGAAACGGCGAUUUGUAAUUUCCGCCUGGCGGUUGGAGUAAUAGCGGACAAAACAAUUGGUUAGUUCGCACACAAACUGAUGCCAAGUUGUGCUCUCAACAUUUACUGAGCCUUUAUUUUGAUUUAUGUCAUGUCAAUUUGCUAAUUUACAGCUAAAAGUCUGUGAACUUUACAGUGUUUUUUUUUUUGGCUAGAGUACAUUGUUAUUCUUUAAGUGAACCGUUCAUUUGAGGCAAUUAAUCCAUUAAAAAAAUAAAGUUUCUAUAGUCAAGUCAAAGUCUUUGGGUUUGGAGUUGUGGCCAUUCUCUGAAGAUGUCAGUUUGACUGCUUAAGCCACAAUAUUUGCAACCAUGGCCCUCUUACUAUUAGUUUGCUAUGAGGGAAUGAUGUGCAAAAAGAAGUCCCGCCCCUUUAGUUUCAGUUAGAAGUACAUCCACACACUGAAGUGAAAGUCUCAGCAAUUUCCAUUUCCCAAUGUCAUUAA